UACGAAGGUGGCAAGCGUUGUUCGGAUUCACUGGGCGUACAGGGUGUGUAGGCGGUUUGGUAAGCCUUCUGUUAAAGCUUCGGGCCCAACCCGGAAAGCGCAGAGGGUACUGCCAGGCUAGAGGACGGGAGAGGAGCGCGGAAUUCCCGGUGUAGCGGUGAAAUGCGUAGAGAUCGGGAGGAAGGCCGGUGGCGAAGGCGGCGCUCUGGAACGUUACUGACGCUGAGGAGCGAAAGCGUGGGGAGCGAACAGG
rnacentral:rRNA from 1 species